rnacentral:tRNA from 4 species
AAAAAAAGCCGGAAUAGCUCAGUUGGUAGAGCAGAGGACUGAAAAUC